rnacentral:rRNA from 1 species
AGUGAACGCUGGCGGUAGGCCUAACACAUGCAAGUCGAACGGCAGCACAGUAAGAGCUUGCUCUUACGGGUGGCGAGUGGCGGACGGGUGAGGCAUACAUCGGAAUCUACUUUUUCGUGGGGGAUAACGUAGGGAAACUUACGCUAAUACCGCAUACGAUCUACGGGUGAAAGCAGGGGAUAUUCGGACCUUUCGCGAUUGAAUGAGCCGAUGUCGGAUUAGCUAGUUGGCGGGGUAAAGGCCCACCAAGGCGACGAUCCGUAGCUGGUCUGAGAGGAUGAUCAGCCACACUGGAACUGAGACACGGUCCAGACUCCUACGGGAGGCAGCAGUGGGGAAUAUUGGACAAUGGGCGCAAGCCUGAUCCAGCCAUACCGCGUGAGUGAAGAAGGCCUUCGGGUUGUAAAGCCCUUUUGUUGGGAAAGAAAAGCAGCAGGUUAAUACCCCGCUGUUCUGACGGUACCCAAAGAAUAAGCACCGGCUAACUUCGUG